UCAAUGGCCACCAUUCCGCUGGCACAAUGUAGUGCCCUGCCCCGGGCCUCAGUUUCCCCAUCUGUGGAACUGAGUGUGGCCUCGACGUCAAAAAUGUGGACUCUGGUCCGGUCGCGGUGGCUCACGCCUCAGCCUCAGCACCCCCUGGGAGCUCGAGACAUCUAAGGAGUUGACUGAGGCCCCUCCCUGACAUACUGAAGCGGAAUCUGCAUUUUAGCAAGAUCUGCAGGAUCUCUGGUGAGAACUAGUCACAAGAU
rnacentral:lncRNA from 10 species